UGGGGAAUAUUGGACAAUGGGCGCAAGCCUGAUCCAGCCAUGCCGCGUGAGUGAUGAAGGCCCUAGGGUUGUAAAGCUCUUUCACCGGUGAAGAUAAUGACGGUAACCGGAGAAGAAGCCCCGGCUAACUUCGUGCCAGCAGCCGCGGUAAUACGAAGGGGGCUAGCGUUGUUCGGAUUUACUGGGCGUAAAGCGCACGUAGGCGGACUUUUAAGUCAGGGGUGAAAUCCCGGGGCUCAACCCCGGAACUGCCUUUGAUACUGGAAGUCUUGAGUAUGGUAGAGGUGAGUGGAAAUCCGAGUGUAGAGGUGAAAUUCGUAGAUAUUCGGGGGAAAACCAGUGGCGAAGGCGGCUCACUGGACCAUUACUGACGCUGAGGUGCGAAAGCGUGGGGAGCAAACAGG
rnacentral:rRNA from 1 species